GUGUCAGCCGCCGCGGUAAUACAGAGGGUGCGAGCGUUAAUCGGAUUUACUGGGCGUAAAGCGUGCGUAGGCGGCUGAUUAAGUCGGAUGUGAAAUCCCUGAGCUUAACCUAGGAAUUGCAUUCGAUACUGGUCAGCUAGAGUAUGGGAGAGGAUGGUAGAAUUCCAGGUGUAGCGGUGAAAUGCGUAGAGAUCUGGAGGAAUACCGAUGGCGAAGGCAGCCAUCUGGCCUAAUACUGACGCUGAGGUACGAAAGCAUGGGGAGCAAACAGGAUUAGAUACCCUCGUAGUCC
rnacentral:rRNA from 1 species